UACGUAGGCAGCAAACGUUGUUCGGAGUUACUGGGCGUAAAGAGUACGUAGGCGGUUUGCCAAGUUUGGUGUGAAAUCUCCUGGCUUAACUGGGAGGAUGCGCCGAAUACUGGCGGGCUUGAGUAUUGGAGAGGAAAGCGGAAUUCCUGGUGUAGCGAUGAAAUGCGUAGAUAUCAGGAGGAACACCGGUGGUGUAGACGGCUUUCUGGACAAUCACUGACGCUGAGGUACGAAAGCGUGGGUAGCAAACAGG
rnacentral:rRNA from 1 species